GCUUUUCACUACUGCUUGCUUAGUUCUGGGUAGCUGUAAAGAAAGAGGAUCAUGGGUCUUGAAUCCAUGCUUUUCAACAGAACCUGAAUAUUUUGGUGUGCUAAGACUAGAACUUGAUGAACUGGAAUAAACAUUUUCAGCUCCGACUGGCUCAUGUAAUCUCAUCCGUGAUUGGCCUGUUUGAAAUUUCAAGUCACUUUUUGACCAAUGAGGGUCCUUGUGUUUGUAUUCAUUGUGCGUAUGCUUGUCCUUUUGAUUACACUCUGCCAGAACUUUCUCUCCAUGACGAUUGGACGCGUGGCGAGGGCGGACUCUGUUAGGAUACCUGGCUUUGUUCCUGUGGUGAUACUCGUCGUCCGAUGACUCGGAACUGUUGUAGUUUUCCGCCACUUGGAGGGUGAGGGUUCCGGUGGACAUCCCCACCAUCCUAACCACGUCAUCAUGCGGGUACUUGGUAACGUUCUGAUUAUUCACAGACACUACGUAAUCUCCAGUCUUCAGUCCAGCCACAUCAGCGGGACUUCCUGGAACAAUCACACUUAACACACAGGGAUGUUGUCCAGAAAUGGUGAAUCCAUACCCUGACUUCCCGCGAGUGACAUCCACUGUCUUUAUGCCGUGAAUUGGUCUCUUCUUCCGCCUUUUAGGGUGGCUGGCCUGAGGCCCAGAAUGUGGGUACAUUGUCAGAUCUAACAAAGAGAAUAAUGUAUGUGUUAAGAUUGCAUGUGAUAGAAUGGCAUGUUACACUGUAGACUGUCUUUAAACUAUUUGUAUUACAUGUCCAAUUACAGAUAAUAUUUGAAGCAGUAUUUAUAAAUAAACAGUGAUGUGCAUUAUUCUAACAC
rnacentral:sRNA from 1 species